rnacentral:rRNA from 1 species
GAUGAACGCUGGCGGCGUGCCUAAUACAUGCAAGUCGAGCGAACAGACGAGGAGCUUGCUCCUCUGACGUUAGCGGCGGACGGGUGAGUAACACGUGGAUAACCUACCUAUAAGACUGGGAUAACUUCGGGAAACCGGCGCUAAUACCGGAUAACAUGUUGAACCGCAUGGUUUAACAGUGAAAGACGGUCUUGCUGUCACUUAUAGAUGGAUCCGGGCCGCAUUAGCUAGUUGGUAAGGUAACGGCUUACCAAGGCAACGAUGCGUAGCCGACCUGAGGGGGGGAUGGGCCCCAGUGAAGCUGACAGGCGGCCCAGGCACCGACGGAAGGCAGCAGUAGGGAAGGUUGGGAAAAGGGCGAAAGCUUGACGAAGCGGCGGAGGGCGGGUGAAGAAGGUCUGCGGAUGGUAAAACGCUGUUAGGGGGGAAAAACAAAUGUGUAUGUAACGAUGCGCGAGUUAAGGGUACCGAUAAAGAAGGCCAGGCCAACCUACGU